AAGGAUUUCGCUCUUUUGAAAUUUCUCCAGCAGGCUUCUAGUAUAAAUAGAAGCCCAC
rnacentral:snRNA from 1 species